GCCUGCCCAGUGACUACGGGUUCAACGGCCGCGGUAUUUUGACCGUGCAAAGGUAGCGCAAUCACUUGUCUUUUAAAUAAAGACCUGUAUGAAUGGCCAAACGAGGGCUUAACUGUCUCCCCCUUCAAGUCAGUGAAAUUGAUCUAUCCGUGCAGAAGCGGGUAUGUAAAUACAAGACGAGAAGACCCUUUGGAGCUUUAGGUACAAAACUUAGCCACGUCAAACAACUCCACAAAAAGCAAGAACUUAGUGGCACAUAAGGAUUUACCUUCGGUUGGGGCGACCACGGAGGAAAAACAAGCCUCCAAGCGGAAAGGGGCAACACCCUAAAGCCAAGAGGGACACCUCUAGGCCACAGAACAUCUGACCAAUAAUGAUCCGGCACAAAGCCGAUCAACGAACCAAGUUACCCUAGGGAUAACAGCGCAAUCCUCUCCCAGAGUCCAUAUCGACGAGGGGGUUUACGACCUCGAUGUUGGAUCAGGACAUCCUAAUGGUGCAGCCGCUAU
rnacentral:rRNA from 1 species